rnacentral:rRNA from 1 species
AGCGAACGCUGGCGGCAGGCCUAACACAUGCAAGUCGAACGCAGCCUUCGGGCUUAGUGGCGGACGGGUGAGUAACACGUGGGAACGUACCUUUUGGUUCGGAGCAACUCAGGGAAACUUGAGCUAAUACCGGAUGAGCCCUUAGGGGGAAAGAUUUAUCGCCGAAAGAGCGGCCCGCGUUAGAUUAGCUAGUUGGUGAGGUAAAGGCUCACCAAGGCAACGAUCUAUAGCUGGUCUGAGAGGAUGAUCAGCCACACUGGGACUGAGACACGGCCCAGACUCCUACGGGAGGCAGCAGUGGGGAAUCUUGCGCAAUGGGCGAAAGCCUGACGCAGCCAUGCCGCGUGAAUGAUGAAGGUCUUAGGAUUGUAAAAUUCUUUCACCAGGGACGAUAAUGACGGUACCUGGAGAAAAAGCCCCGGCUAACUUCGUGCCAGCCGCCGCCGUAAGAC